rnacentral:rRNA from 1 species
UACGGGGGGGGCAAGCGUUGUUCGGAAUUACUGGGCGUAAAGGGUUCGUAGGUGGCUUGCUAAGUCAGACGUGAAAUCCCUCAGCUUAACUGGGGAACUGCGUCUGAUACUGGCGAGCUUGAGUGCGGGAGAGGGAUGCGGAAUUCCAGGUGUAGCGGUGAAAUGCGUAGAUAUCUGGAGGAACACCGGUGGCGAAGGCGGCAUCCUGGACCAAUAUUGACGCUGAGGAGCGAAAGCCAGGGGAGCAAACGGG